rnacentral:tRNA from 1 species
GCCAUGAUAGUAUAAAUAUUACUUUGGUCUUGUAAACCAAAAAUGAGGAACUAAUCCUCUCAAGGCA